UGGGGAAUAUUGGACAAUGGGCGCAAGCCUGAUCCAGCCAUGCCGCGUGAGUGAUGAAGGCCCUAGGGUUGUAAAGCUCUUUCACCGGUGAAGAUAAUGACGGUAACCGGAGAAGAAGCCCCGGCUAACUUCGUGCCAGCAGCCGCGGUAAUACGAAGGGGGCUAGCGUUGUUCGGAUUUACUGGGCGUAAAGCGCACGUAGGCGGACUUUUAAGUCAGGGGUGAAAUCCCGGGGAUCAACCCCGGAACUGCCUUUGAUACUGGAAGUCUUGAGUAUGGUAGAGGUGAGUGGAGUUCCGAGUGUAGAAGUGAAAUUCGUAAAUAUUCGGAGGAAAACCAGUGGCGAAGGCGGCUCACAGGACCAUUACAGACGCUGAGGUGCGAAAGCGUGGGGAGCAAACAGG
rnacentral:rRNA from 1 species